rnacentral:misc_RNA from 1 species
AACGCAUCUUGCGCCCUUUGGUAUUCCGAAGGGCACACCUGUUUGAGCGUCGUGAAUCUCUCAACUCUCAAGAUUUAUUUCGCGGAGUUGGAUGUUGGGCGUUGUCGGACUUAGUUCGACUCGUCUUAAAAUCAUGAGCGGUCGUCUUCUAAUCUUGGCGUGAUUAGCCCGGCAUAAUAGUCUUAUGUUGUCGAGCAAAGGCCAUUAGAGGCGUGCUUCUAAUGAAGUUAGACUUGAAUCUUAGACCUCAGAUCAGGUGGGACUACCCGCUGAACUUAA